rnacentral:rRNA from 1 species
AGUCGAACGGAGUUAAGAGAGAAGCUUGCUUCAUUUUUAACUUAGUGGCGGACGGGUGAGUAACACGUGAGCAACCUGCCUUUCAGCGAGGAAUAACGUUUGGAAACGAACGCUAAUACCUCAUAACAUCACAGGAUGGCAUCAUUUUGUGAUCAAAGGAGCAAUCCACUGAAAGAUGGGCUCGCGUCUGAUUAGAUAGUUGGUGAGGUAACGGCUCACCAAGUCGACGAUCAGUAGCCGGACUGAGAGGUUGAACGGCCACAUUGGGACUGAGACACGGCCCAGACUCCUACGGGAGGCAGCAGUGGGGAAUAUUGCACAAUGGAGGAAACUCUGAUGCAGCGACGCCGCGUGAGGGAAGAAGGUUUUCGGAUUGUAAACCUCUGUCUUUGGUGACGAUAAUGACGGUAGCCAAAGAGGAAGCUACGGCUAACUACGUGCCAGCAGCCGCGGUAAUACGUAGGUGGCAAGCGUUGUCCGGAAUUACUGGGUGUAAAGGGAGCGUAGGCGGGAAGACAAGUUGAAUGUUUAAACUAUCGGCUUAACCGGUAGUCGCGUUCAAAACUGUUUUUCUUGAGUGAAGUAGAGGUAGGCGGAAUUCCUAGUGUAGCGGUGAAAUGCGUAGAUAUUAGGAGGAACACCAGUGGCGAAGGCGGCCUACUGGGCUUUAACUGACGCUGAUGCUCGAAAGCGUGGGUAGCAAACAGGAUUAGAUACCCUGGUAGUCCACGCUGUAAACGAUGAUUACUAGGUGUGGGGGGGACUGACCCCUUCCGUGCCGCAACUAAACGCAUAAGUAAUCCACCUGGGGAGUACGGCCGCAAGGUUGAAACUCAAAGGGAAUUGACGGGGGCCCGCACAAGCAGUGGAGUAUGUGUUUUAAUUUCAAGCAACGCGAAGAACCCUACCAGGUCUUGACAUCAAGUGAAAGCUCUAGAGAUAGAGCCCCCCUUCGGGGCACGAAGACAGGGUGUUGCAUGUUUGUCGUCAACUCGUGUCCUGAAAUGUUGGG